CAAAAUUAAUGAACCAUAUUUAGAAGUGUACAUAUCAUUCUUGCGCAUAUAUAUGUUAUGCUAAUUUUCCUGAAGAAAUUAAUGUUCAAUAUUUAGAAGGACGAUGGCUUUAUUUUUGUGCUGUAAAUUCAUUAUAUUAGGUGUUUAUAUGGGUUAUCCAAAAAAAAAAAGUGUUUAUAUGGAAAAUUUGGUAUAUGUGAAUAUAAUAAAUCAAUGAAGAAAGAACCUCAUUUUUUUCAGUAGUAAUAUUAAUAGUUUUUGGAAUCAGGAAGACUAGUUAACAUCUAGAACGCUUGAGUUUUUCAACAUGUAUAUGUUGGGGAGCUUUGUCAACUCUAUAGUUGAAAUAUGUAAUUAAUGUCUACGUACAAAACCAAAUGCAGUUACCAACUAUCUGAAUCCAUUUACUUAUUUAGUUUUUUUUUUCUUUUCAAAAAGUGAAAAUGCCAUUUAUUUAUGUUAGCUGUUAUACAAUUACUUUAGCAUUGUACUUUGUAUAACCCAUUCCCCACUAGAUGUACACUUAUAUAAAUUCAAAAAAUAGUACAAAGUCGAGAUAUAUAACUUUGAAUGCAGUUUAGUUCUAUUUCCAAAAUAAAAUUAGUUUCAACUCAAGUAACUACAGAUUUGGCAACACUUUUAGACAAGUUAAGAGAAACUUGAAAGACCGUUAAAGUUUAGCCUACGUCCAAGUAAAUUCUCCUUUUCGGUGAUUUGCAACACAAGAUUCCCUAAAACUAAUAUUUUUUGGUUUAAAGAAAAAGAAACAAUUUUAUUAAAAUUUGAAAAAUCAAAACUUACGUAGAUUACUUGAAGUUUGUAUGCCUUUCCCUUUAUUUUGUCUUAAAAAAUAAAAAAUAAACCACUCGUUUCUGAUUUUCCUUCUUCAAUUUUUUUGAAAAUUUGAUUUAAACCGACCGGUUCUUUAUAACCGCCGGUUUUCUUUCUUUGAAACCACAUCGCCGGGGUCUAGUUAACGCUUCGUCGCCUCUGGCUCGCUACACCACGGAAAACUUCGAGAGAUUGAAGAGGUGCUGAAAGAAUCUUAGACUCGGAAGAGUAGAAUUAAGGCAAAUAUCGUCUGCUCUGCACUUGUAUCGUCUUCGUUUUAAUCAGUGAAGCACAGGUUGUGUUAAUGUAGUAAGUUGUAUAUUUCAUCAGUGAGUGGUGGGACCUCGUUGUCCCAGAAGCGUUGAUGGAGUAGCAUUGACCCUGAGCUUGACUGGAACUUCACAUGCCUAUUCUCUGAAAUGGAGUCUGUUGAAAAGAAUCUCAAAGUUUCCUCAGCCUUUCGCUAAGACAACCUUAAGGUGAAUAUCUCUCUGUGUGCUUGGUUUCAUGUUUAGCUUGUUAUUGAGUUCUGCAUGGGUUUAGGAUUGAAAUGUAUAACUCUCUUUUUUCUUUUUUUUAUGUAAACUAAAGUAGAACUCAUUCGUUAGUUAAUUUAGCUGAAAAUUUAGAAAGUAGAAAAUGUUUCUCUCAUGUUAGAAUGGCGUUUAUAAAAAAAAAGGCUGGGAAAGAGUGGUGGGGGAUUUGUAGUGCGUGUAUCAGAAGAUGAGAUGGGGAGUGAUGAAGAAGAAGAUUGUAGUCAAAUCUGUACAAUGGGGAAACGUUUUGCCUGUGAUGAGCUAUACUUGAGGUGCUUACCAUCAACUCUUCCUUGCUAGCGCUUGUUUACGAAAGACUUCUUGAGUGUUGUUUGAUCCGUUACUUCUUGUUCAUACAGUGAUGAAUCUGAGUCCUUUUUGAUGAGUAACAACAUGUGUGAUUGUUCUUGUGCAGAGGCUGAAGUAAAAGCUCGUGCAGAGGCUGAAGUAUAUAAUUAAACAUCAUGUAUUGGUCUUCUAAGUAACGUUGCUGUGAUUAUUCUUUUCUUUUCAUUUGGAAUAUUGAGAUCUUAUUUCUUGUUGUGCUUGUUAUUUAUUGGAUCAACCUAGGUAAAUCAACACAAGGUGCAGAACCCCCAGAACGUGCUUUGACAUUGGAGAAGCACAGGUUGAAGAAGCUGGAAGAGUUAGAAGCAGCGACCCAGUCUCUAAAAUCACGUUCAUAUGAGCAAAAGCAAAUAAGGGAAACAAAGGAUAAUGUAAGGUAUGGUUCAUGGUUUCUUCAUGACUGUUGUUGUAUAUAUGCCUCUUUUUCGCGUUUUAAUGUAGGAGCCUUGAUCUUGUUUUUCUUUUGAAAAAUGUCAAUUUUCAGCAUGUGGUACGAAAGAUUCAAUAUAGAGUUGAAGAAGUUUUGUGUAAGCUUUGCCUAGGCGUCUCUUAUAUAGAGUUUUGUUAAUGUUUGUUGAUUCUUGCAGAUAGUCUCCACUCAAGACCCUUUUGCAGGCAGCUACGUCAUCCUUUAUGUCACCUCGCAGUUUCCACAAGCAAUGGAUAUUGUUCUUUGCUGAUUUUUACAAAGCUUGCAUUUACACAUGUCACAGUCAGGUUGGGACUCAGACGCAUAUCAACGCCUAGCUUCUACAAUGAGACUCUACGGUGCACUUGUCCAGACCGAUCGAUAUUCGCGGUGGCAAAGCUCAUAACAUUCAUGGGACUGAAAAUGGAUGGGCUUGAUUUGCCCGGUUCCUUAACAAUAUCUCAGCCAACAGAGCUACUGCAACAGCCUUAAACGCAUUUCUCUAGACGGCAGGGUUUGGUCUUCAUCAGAGGUACAAAUCUCAGUUCUUAAAAGCUGUGAACGUUGUCAGAGAGCAUUUCUUGCCAAAGUUGAGGGCGAAAAAGGACGCAGCGAAUCUACAGACGAUCAUAACCGAUAUAACAGCGUACUUGGAUCAUGACCAGAUGUAUCUCAAGGAACCGGUUGGAAGAACUAUGGAGACGGAUACUUUGUCGUCCAAGAUUACUCAUGAAGAAGAUCAGCACAAUCAACAUUACCAUGGGAACUAUUACAGAGGCUAUCGUUGAUUUGUGUAUCAUUCGUUAAAUAAAACGUAUCAAUUUUCUUUAGGCUGUUGUAACAUAUGAUCAUAAUGUUACACCAAUAUUUGAAAAAUCAGUCACAAGAAGCUGAAUCAAGGAAACAUUAUUGUUUAAUUACUGAGUAUUUUGUUUCA